UUGUAAGUUACAAAAUGUGCAAAAAGUUAAGUUUGGGGUGGUAAUCUUUAAAGAAAGGGAGAGUGCAUAAGAAGAGAUCUAAAAGUAAUGCAAAAAGAAGAGACAUGUGUAUGUCCUAAUAAAAAAAAGAGAAAGAAAAGAAAAAAAAAAGAGAAAUGCACUUGCCGAGACUUAAGACUCUAAGACCUGUAAAAUGCUCACAGAGAAUUGAGUUAAAAAGAGUCAAAAGUGAAUAAACC
rnacentral:lncRNA from 1 species